CCCUGACCCAGGGGCAGCGACGUGGGAUCCUCCACUCAGGCCCACAGCCCAAGAUUCCGUAGUCCAAGAUUCCAGAAGAAGAAUCCAGGAUGGGAAGGGUGGGGUCAGAGGGAGAAUGCUGAAAGAAGGUUCUGGAAGGUUCGGGGUGUCCCCCUUGGCCGGCUCGCUCUCCACGUGCUCUUGGGGCCCAACGACUCGUCCUUCCCCUGAUGUCUUCUCUGGGGCUGGAUGUGUCUUCACAAGCCGCCAACCUGCAAGUCCAAACUCGACUGUGACUUCGCUGUGGGCCCAAGUGUCAGCAGUCGAUCUGUUAUCAGUUGAUGGCGGGCUCGUUUCUCAGAAGCCAGGCGCGCGCGCACGCACGUGCCGGAGCCCCAUUCUCUGGUGUGGAUCAUCUCUGCAUCCGUUCUGGAAUAAUACUUUCAGGAGCACUGUUUCCAUUCGCAGUGAGUCGUGACCGUGCCUGUGUCUCAGUCCUCGUGCUUUUUCCUGAGCGAUGCCUCGCAUUCCGAAGACGCGCAGGUUGUAACAGAAUGAGGGUAGGAUUCGAGAACCGUCCGGACCUGAGCAACCCCCACCCCCACCGAGUUACCCUGAGCCCCAGAGACAGCCAGCCCCCCUCCGCCCGCCCUGCCUGGGACAGCGCUGCCAGUCUGGGCGUCCCGUGGCCACCGUGUCAUGUGUCCCGGGAGUGGAGAGGGGCGGCCAGCAGGCUGAGUCGGCGGACCUUCGCCCUCCUGCAGGGAACAACUCUGGUGACUGAAAAGUAACCCCGUGUACCCACCGUGCUUGUGGGCAUUGAAACCCCCAGGCUCUCUGCCAGGGUCAGCGUGUUGGGGACUUUGGGCCGGUUUUGUACACGGUGAACAUCAGUCCGGGGGCCGCUUUGGUUUCAUGUUGUUUUGUGGGAAGAUUUUGGUUUUGAGGUGAUCUCCACGCCCGGCGUGGGGCUGGAACUCCCCACCCAGAGAUCCGGGGUCCCAAGCUUCAGGGAGCCAGCCAGGCGCCCCGCGGGGCUGCUUUGGUUUUGUAAGUGAACCUUCCAAGGAGGAGAAAGACACUGCUCAAAUCUGACUCUUUCUUAAGCGGUGAAUCCACUGGAAACUUACACUUCUAUUUCUGGAUGGAAUACAUUUCCCCAACCCCAUCACCGCUGAGGGAAGCAUUUUCUGUCAUGCUUGCUUCCAUUGAUAAACUGAGUUCGUUAAACUCUCUUACGUAUUUUCAGCCGCAUGUGGGAUUUACCGUGUUUUUUGUUUUGAAGUUUAUUUAUUUAUUUUGAGAGAUGGAGAAAGAGAGAGGGAGGCACGGAGAGAAAGAGGGACACAGUGAAUCCCAAGCACUGUCCCUGAGGAGCUCGGUGUGGGGCUGGAACCCAUGAACCUUGAGAUCGUAACCUGAGCCGAAAUCCAGAGUUGGGUGCUUAACUGACUGAGCCAGCCAGGUGCCCCCCACCACGUAUUAAAUUUGAAGUGUUUCCCAUUGUCCACUCAGUUCUUCCAAGUAAUAACGGGUCAUUUCCAAGUAAUAAGGGGUCCGUUUCCACGCCUGAGGUGGGAGUCCAGUGACCUGUUCUUUCCACUUUUCCUUCUUUCCUCCCCUCUCUCCCUUCACCUCCCCUCCCCUCCCCUCCCUUCCCUUUGCUCUCCUUCCUCGGCUGAGGGAUUGGGCCAUCAGGUGGGGGGACAGGUGCUGCCUCUUGGUGGGGGGAGGGAUGGGGCAGGAUAGCAGCUGGCCGAGGGGAGGGGACGCUCUUCCAGCUGCUGUCGUGUCAGAGGGAGUGAGUGAGGAGGGCGCUCAGAAGGGGGUGGUCCUCAGGACCUAGAGUGGGGGUGAGGGGAGAGGGGCGGCUGGACCUUGGGAACCCAGCCCCAGCAGGGGAGUCGGUGGCGGUGUCUGUGCUGGGGAGGAAAGGGUCCCUGCAGGAGUGACUGCAGGGUGGGUUUCCACCACAGAAGGCGAGUCUCUUCUGUGACAUUCAGAGGGAAGAGUUCUAGUGUGGAAAGGGGAAAAUGACCAUGAACCUGACUGGUGGUAUUUCAUGAGGGGUUUUGGAGGGUGGGGGUGGGGUGGGGGGUUUGCGUCUCCUUAACAUCUUUUUCAUUACGUUAAAAUAUAAAAAUAUGGGUGACUCAGUCGGUUGAGCGUCAGACACUUGGUUUCUGUUCAGGUCAUAUCUAGGGUCAUGGGAUCGAGCCUCGGUGCUGAGCACGGAGCCUGCUUGAGAUGUUCUCUGUCUCUCCCUCUGCCCUCUCCCCUGCUUGUGCGCUCUCUCUAAAGUAAAUAAAAUAAAAUAUAUA